CCAAUAGUGGAAGAAGGCAACGUUCUAUCUGCUGAUGCUGAAUCAUUGAUGAAGGAAAUCCACUGUUUGGAACAAUUAAAUCUCAUCACCUUGUCCUUACAUGGUUCGCGUGGUGUUGAAAACUUUCUGAAAUUCCCAAAGCUGCAGAAUAUCACUCAAGCUCUGCACAUCGAAGACUGCAACAGUCUACCGCUCAAUUUGUUGCAUCUAGCAAACAUGGAGCAUCUUGAGAAGUUAUUUAUCGAGGAUAGUAAUUUGGAAGACUGGAAUGUCGACUGCGCGGGAGAGGUACAAAAAAUGCGUAAACUUCACUUUGUUUCAAUAUACGAAUGCUCAAAUGUGAAGGACUUAACGUGGCUUGUUUUUGUUCCAAAUCUCAAGUGGCUGCGAAUAUUUGAUUGUGAUGACAUGGAAGAAAUAAUCAGUGUUGAAAAUUUUGAAAAAUUGAGUGAAGUUUCAGAGAUGAUGGGAGAGCUUAACUUGUUCUCGGAACUCGAAUCUCUGAAUCUAGGAUAUGCAAGUAAUUUGAAGCGCAUCUACCGCGAUCCCUUGCCCUUUCCACAGCUGGAGCAAAUUUACAUAUCGAAAUGCCCAAAGUUGAAGAAGCUCCCGCUCAAUUCCAGCAGCGCAAAGGGACGUAAAAUUGUCAUUUACGGGGAGAAAGAAUGGUGGGAAGAGCUACAAUGGGAGGAUCAAGCCACUCAAAGUGCUUUCUCUCCCUGUUUGGCUGUUUCGUGCCUUCAUGAAUAAUAAAGUGCAAUAAGGCGCAAAAGUGUGAAUAAAGUUUCUGCGUGUGCUUAAUGAUUAUCUUGUCUAUCCAUUUCAUUUAAUUUAAAAGCUUUCUACGGUGUUGCGUGUGUGUCACUUGUCAUUCUUCUGCACUGCUGUUUCCUAUUUCCAGUUAAUAAAAUUUUUUUGUUCUUAGAAAUGCUUUGCUGGUAAUAUAUUCUAUUUACUUUCCUCCUAUUUUCAUUACAGCUAAUAAUUGCAUAGUUGUAUAAUUUUUUAAUAUUAUCUUUAUUUUUAAAUAUACUUUUAUUUAUAUUUAUUAUAAAUUAAAUAAAUGUAUGAAUAGAAAUUAAAAUGAAAACUAAGUAUUAAAACAAGAAAUAUAUAUUUUGAUUUGAAUAAAAAUAUAAAUAUUUGUUUGUACUUUUUUAUAUAUAUAUUCAAUAUAAGAAAAUAUUUAUAAAAUAAAAAGUGUAAGAAAAAUAUCUUAUUAUUAAUUCUUAUUCACAUCAAAACAUAUAUUUCUUACUUUAAAUACUUAAUUUUUUAUUCAAAUUAUCAUUCAUAUGAUUUAUUUAAUUUAUAAUACAUAUAAAUAAAAAUAAUAUUGUAAAUUAUGUUGUUAGAAAUUAUUAGUUAUUAUAAAAAUAAUAUGGGACAAAUGGUAAAUCGGAGAUAUUGUUUCCUAUUUUCAGCUAAAAAAUUUAUUUGUUCUAAUAAUUGCUUUGCUAGUAAUAAGGCCUGCAAGUUGCUUAACUGAAUAUGACUUCUUUUUUAAAAAUGUUACUAUCAAUUUCGAUGAUUGAUUAUCUCGAAGUAGUGAAAUUUAUGUAAUGUUGGUAUUAAAAAAAUUUGUGCUACUGAUAAAAAAAGUCCAUUGGAUUCGGCCUAAAUGACGGAUCGUGGCUUGAUUUUCUCAUCCCAAAGGCUCUGUAUCUCACUUUCGAAAGUAGUUUUAGCAUAAUGUAGGUGAAAAAUUAAAAUAUUCUGCGAUCUCUAUAUAGCUUUUCCAACAGAUUUCACCCAUUUGACUGUAGACCAAAGCAUCCAUUGGAUCGAUGCAUUUAUUAAGAAGAGGAUCAUUCGGAGCUACAAUUGGAGGAUCGAGUCACGCAAAGAGUUUUCUCUACUUGUUUCGAUCCUAUGGAGAUAGAGUUUUCAUAGAUUGAUGGUAGGAGCUUUUUUGUCAAUUUAUGUAUCUAAUUGUGUGUAACAUGCUUUCUUGUCUUUCAUAUCAGACAUUGUAAAUUUGUAAUGUUGCCAUUUUCUUUUUCCUAUCAAGAAAGAAAGAGCAUUGCGAGUAGUCUUUCCAAUUUUCACUCCUUUUUGGUAUGUGAAGAAAAAUAAUAAAGCAAAACAAACUAGUGUUGAAGAAAAAGAAAAUGACAAGUUCAAUAGGGCAAAAGUUCACCAUCCCUUUACCAUUUGCUCAAGCAAGUAAGCUUUACGUUUACUUCUUGAGAUUUGAACUAACCAGACAACUUGUAAUGUUACCAUAAAGUUCAAAGAUUAGAAGAGAAAAACUUAUGUCUGUUAGGCACUAUUAUUCAGGCUUAAAUAAUAACAAUAAAAUACUACACCAUGUCUGCUCUCUUUUACUUUUCUUGGUUCUGUUGUAAAAUUCAGUUCUAUUUGAAGGAAAUUAUUAACAUCAAAACUAAAUACUUCGUGAGCAUCUACUGACAACAUACUCCAGAUGACACCAUAACCAUAUCAUAUAAAGCAAGAAAUGUGAAAUAAAUACAAAAUGAAUCAUAGGAGGGAAUUACCACACUCUGCGGUCUCUCCUGCUAAACCCUGCAGUUAGAAUGCCAUUUGUCGUGAGCACCUGAAUCCCCAAAGGACUCCCAGCUUCAAGUGGCUUUGACUUAGCUUGCUUUAGCUCCAUUGCACAUACUCACUCACAUGAAGGAAAUGAACAGAACAAGAAACCUCAUCAUGCCGAAUAUGAUAGAUAUGACAAGGCAUUACACUGUAGGAAGCUCCCGAUUUCUCUACAAAACUCUGCAGGUUCUCCACAAUCAAGGCGUGCUCCAUCUUUAACAGAUCACUUCUACCAUUAAGAGAAGGAAGAGAGUUCCUCUCGUGUGGCAGUAAAUCCUUACUUAACACAGGAUUGAAGCCAACCAAGAACGGAAGGCAAUUUCGUUAGAUUAAGAACCGAAUCACCAUCCAAUAUAGUAGCAUUUGAACCAGAACUCUUGUUAAAUUCUUGAAAUCUCCUGCUUUCAUCAGUCUGUAAGAGAAAUGAAGAUGAGAAUAAUAGCCAGAACCGGAUUAAAUUCAAUCUGGUCUUUUGAAGACUUCUAUAACAACUAAGAGAACCCAGUGUACCGCCUACAGAUACUGUCAGGCUUCUAUCAAAUAUCCCAAACACCAAAAACCAACCCAAUUAAGCUAACAAACCUGCAUGAAUAUCUAAAUUUCAAUGCACGUGAAACAAACUCCGUGUUCAAUCCACCAAAACUAGCAAAUUUCAAACUUUAUCACUCAUCAUUCUCUCUCUGUCAGCUGUAUGAGGCUAUGAGAUCAUGUUAUAAUGUUCAUAUUGAUGCUGAAUGUUUUGCCAGCUUGUCUGAAUUCCAUAAGAGAAUGCAAUGUGCACAUUAUUGUGCCUUGCCCACCAUUAGAUUCUAAACCACAAAAUCAUUGUGUGAAGUAGCUGACGUUUCGCACAUUCUUAUCCCUUAUCAUCAAUAUUCUUCUCCUCAAGCUUAGAUCAUGGAAAUUUGAGUGACAAACAUGAUAACAUGGUAACACCAUCUAAACUUUAGGGGCAUAAAGUAACAUAGAAGCAACAUGGGAUGUUUUAAAAUCUAUUAUAAUUUGCUUAGGCCCCUGAAUAAAAUUAAAACUUGUAAUGAAAUAAAGUAGCAAAAUAAAGAUUGGAGGUCGCAUGCUUGAUAUUUGAUGCUGUCAAAAUUAAUUUGCAGUGCUGAAAUUGCUGCUCCAAUAAAUUUUUCAAUGGGAUUUCUAUAUUUACAACAAAUUUUCAGUAUUGAAACAGGAUUAAAAUCAUAAAGUAUCUUUUAAACAGCAGAGGCAACAAGAUCCUACAGAAAAAGAAGGCAAAAAGUAGUUACAAGCUACAGAAACGCAAAUAUUCUACUGGCCAACUCCCACUAAAUUCGAAGCAAUUCUAAAAUCUCAGCUUGUACUACGACAUCAUUCCUUCUAUGUGGCCCAACUGUACUUCACCCAGAAAUCACAUUUCUUCAUCAGAGAUAAUUUUACUUCUAAUAAGAGAGAAUUUUUUAUAUGCAUGGCUUUACAGUAAUGAAUAAUUUUCCUUAAAUCUUUUCUAACAGACAAGAAAGCACAAAGCACAAAAAUUGAUAUAAACAACUUUUCUCGAAGCUUUUUCAUAAGAAAACCUGAACAUGAUUGCUUCUCUUAGAAGGCCCCCUAGCUUCCUGCAAGAACCUUGUGCCCCCAAAAAAAACAAAGGAUUAUAAUUAGGCAUAAGGCUCCCAAUGUUCUUGCAGGAAUUAUGAUGAAUAUGAGAGUUUCAAAAAAGAAAAAAAAAUAUUACGACAACCUCUAGGCGGAGGAAAUCAGUUUUCUAGGAAUUCGUUAGAUUGGUGAAGUUAUAGAACCGCAGCAAUUUGCUGUAGUUUGGAAUGUUUUUGCCUUUCAUUAUAGCAUUUGAAAAGGCUCAAGGAUAUAGAAGAACCUUGGCUACAAAUUCAGGGAAGAUUUCACUUAUAAUGAGAAAUAAUCACCAUUAUUAUAUACAAUGAGAAAACAGUUAUGGAAGAAAUAGAAAGAAUUACCCGAAACGGAGGAUUUGGAAGACAAUGAGACAAAAGUAUAAAGAAGAAGAAAUUGGAGAUAUAAUGACUGCCUAUUUCUUUGAUGAACCCAUCAAAAACGGCUUGAAAAUUAAAGAAAUUGUAAAAUGCUGUAACGGAGGAAUUGAAACUGUAAAAGAUGCAAGUUAAUUCAUGGGGCUGGCCAUCUUGAUUGAUUGAACACCUAUUAGAUUUUUAAUAUUAAAGAACUCACUUUAAUGAUGUUUAAUUGGUAGUAGCCCUUUAUAGUCUUUAAACCUUUAGCAGUGCAAAGUCACAAGCUUUGUCCAGAAUCUAAGGGCGUAAGUUAUAGGCGAUGGGUGCCAUCACCUGGGCAACGACGUACAUCGCUUGGGCGACAAGCCAAUUUACUAGGCUCAUCGCAAACAGCCUUCGUCGCCUGGGCGAUGGCCAAAUCCAUCCAAUAAACUUUCAGCUCAUGUUUGAUAGUCUAAAAAAAGUAGUUAUGGUGGCCAUCACACAUCACAUUUUACUGACAAGCUGUCUUAAUUUUCAUAGAAAAUUGUUCCUACUGAUUUUCCAAUACUGGCCUAAUACUUGCAGAUUAUUAAACGAUUAUGGAAUGGCGGCGAUUUUAGACCAGUAAUUUUGUCAAUAAUUGCUAAUUCGCAAUCCCUUUACAAAUCUAAUAAUCUACUGCAUACACGCUCUUGAUGACUUGGAUUCUCAAAAAAUAACCAUUUUACGCCGCUGAAGCGCAGAAAAAUCAAUUGUUUUAUCCACUUCCAAAUAAAACUUAUUCUAGUAAAUGCGAUAAAGAAAUGUUUAUUUCAAUUUCCAACCCAGAUCUCAUAAAGAAUUUCUCACUCAAAUAAACAAAUAAAUAUCAUCUGGUAAUGGUAUGACAUUUAUUUUGAAGUAAACACUGGCCCACUAUUUUCUCAAUUUUCCAUUGUUUGAGGACACCAUUUUCUCAAUUGAAGAACAUGUUCUGGCCAAAAUUCACAAUUUUCUCCACGUGAUUUAAAGCACACAGGAUUCACACUUUUCUCCACGUGAUUUAAAAGCACACAGAAUUCUCCUGACCUUAAUUACGGAUCUUAUUAUGUUUAUUGAAAUCCAAUAUUGUAGACUCAUUGUUGUAGCUAGAAAAUCAUAUUAAUAGAGUAAAAUUUAUAAAUAAUCAAAGAAAAGAGUUCACGCUCUUACUUCAUUACUUUUAUAAUCUUAUUAGUAUAUCUACUUACAUGUCUUCAGAAAAUACAGUUUUAAGAGGAUAUUUUUAUUUUUCUUCGUAAUAAUAGAUUUAAUUUUCAUCUUUCUAAUGUUAAGUUGCAUAUUUGGAGUAAAUAAUAUUAAAUUUCAAAUUAGAUCACAGACCCCAUUUUAAUAGAUUCAAUUGGAUUUUGGACAUCUAAUUAAACAACUGGACUAAUAAAUUGCAAAUGAAUGAGAUUUAUAUGUGAUUUUAAAAUAAAAUUUGAACUCAAAUCUAUGUAUUUAAUUAAUCCAACAGGACAAAUUUAUAAUUUUCACCAACUAAAUAAAAUAUGUUAUCAGAAACUUUUGGACCAAGUCGCGCACUUCGUGGGUCUGCUACUACUUAUAGUCCAUUCUCAUUCAACUUUCACAUCUUUUAUAUUAUGUACAAAUUGGAUUAUAUUCUAAAACAGUGUUUCUAAUUGUUUAACGUUUUAUUUCUGGGUAUAUUUAGAGAUUAAAAAAUAUGGGAAACAUAAUUAAUUUUAUCAAAUAAAAAGGAGUAUUGUUCAUUUUUUCAUAAACAAUGUGUUAAAAUACUUUUGGUAUUUAAGAAGUAAAAAUUUUUAUUUUUGUUUCAUAAAAAAGCAUUCAAAAUUAUAUUAAAUAAAAUUAAAGAUUAACAAAACUGACAUCUGAAUUUCGUGCAAAUUAUAAUAAGUUUAUCUCCAGCGUGAGUAACAUUAAAGCUUGGCUAGCAUCAUCAUAUUUUAUCUCCAGCAUCAAAAUUCUGAUAACAUCAACAUCAUAAUUCCAAGGUUGUCAAAACUAAUUAUCAAAUUAAAAUCCUUUGUGAUUUAAGCUCUCUUGGACUUUUAAAAAUGUUAUGCCACCCCUUCUUUAAUAAUAGUAGUAUAUGAUUAUGAUUUAAUUAUUUUAUUUUUUUAAUUUAUCAAACACCAAUCACUUAAAUUAAACUCAAGAAAAAAAUUAGAACAUCAAAGAAUUUUAAUUGCUUCUUAUUAAGUACUAGAAUUAACUUCUCCCAAUGAUAAUUUAUUAAGCAAACCAUAAUGAUCAUCUUACACUAAAGAACCAACCCAUCUUCAAAACACAAGAAUUUAGUACAAAUAAUUAUCCCAAUAAAGUUUAACGAAAAAGAAAAGAGAUAUUUUUAUUAUUUCUUUUACUUUCUUAGUGGCUCUGCUACUACCUAUAGUCCAUUCUUAUUCAACAUACAGAUCUUUUAUAUUAUAUGCAAAUUAAAAUAUAUUCUAAAAAGUGUAUCCAACUGGUUAACAUAUUAUUUCUAUAUAAUAAUCAAUUUUAUCAAAUAAAAAGGAGUUUUGGUCAUUCAUUUGGCUCCGUUGCCACUGUUGUACGCUACAAAAGCUUUUGUCUUUGCUGACUCAGUUACUGUAAAAUGUCGUUCAGCCCCUUAUACUCUAUUUUAUUUAUAAGAAUUAUAAAAAUUUCUAAUUACCUACACUUUCAAAAUUCAAUUUAUCUCCUUACAAUCUUUUUCAUUUACUUUUUUUUGUAAGUAUUAAAAAGUUUCUAUUUACAACCACGACAUAGUAAUCAUCAUAACACACGAAUAUUUAUAAAAAUAUAAAAAUAUCACUAAAUUAAUACUAAAAAAUGUUUUCCUCUCUUGAGGAAUUAUGGUAUCUCAUUUUCGAUCACUCAUUAUCAACAAAAUUUUCAAAGAUAUGAUCAUUCAUCUUCUUUAUAAUAUCAUCUUAUAAUAAUUAAUACUUUCAUGAUUAAAAAAAUUAACAAAAUAAAGAUAAAUUCCCUUUGAAUCCAUCCCUCUCUACUAUCAUUUUCUCUUCAUUAGCAACAUUUAUCAAUAAUUGAAGCCACCAUCAGACUCAUCACACAGAGAGAGUGAGAGAGGGGAAGAAGAAACGGGAAAAAAAAAUAUAUGAGACAUUUACAAUUUUAUAGUGUGUUUAUUCAACGAGAUUCAUAUAUAGUUGCUAAGGGGUUUCAUUAGACACAGAGAGUUUAUUACACUGAAACUUUUAAUCCAGUAGUUAAGGCCUCAACAAUCAGAGUUAUUCUUAGCCUAGCAGUACUUAACAAGUGGAUAAUCAGACAAGUGGAUAUUAAUAAUGCCUUAAUGGCAUUUCAGUUGAAGAAGUUUACAUGGCACAACCUGAGGGAUUUGUGGAUCCUACUAAACCCCAACACAUCUGCAAAUUAAAAAGGACUAUAUAUGGCUUGAAGCAAGCUCUCAGGGCUUGGUUUGAUAGAUUCAAAGCUGCAAUGAUUACUCAAUGACAUUUUCAACACUCAAAAUCAGAUAAAAAAUAUCAAAAUAUUUAUAUCAUUAAACUUUUAGGCCUAAUUAACUAAUUAAAGUUCUAAAUUUUUAUUUAGGACAUUAAAAAGACCGGAUAGAUUCUAUUAGCCCAAAAAUUUUAUUUUAAUUUUAAUAUUCAUUAAAUAUUUUAAACUUAAAUCUAUUUUUUAUUUAUUUUUAGAUGUUAGAAUUGCCCACAGCGAAUCACAAUUUUAAUAUCUAAUCUAAUUUAAUCUAAUAUUUGCUCUUGAUUUGCUCUUACUUAACUAUUGUGUUGUAAAGGGAAUAGUCCACAUUUAUAAAGUGCCCACGCCACCCUUGAAAAAGUUAAUUUUGAAUCUAAAUUUGAUUUUAUUUGUAACAAUUUUGUAUUAGACUAUUAAUUUAUUUAUGAUAGUUUGUAAAAGAAGUUUGUAUCCCUUGCAUGCUGCGUUACUUACUAAUUUAAUGUAUGUGACUUUUGUAAUGGAUAUUAAUGCAAGAUAUUUUUCGAACUUUACUUUUAUUUAAAUUUUAUUUUAAUAUGAUUAACUCAAAUCGAAAAUAAAAAAAUGUAUUAAUUAUUCGGGGAUCGGGGACCCUCGGGGAUCCCCUAUUAUUAUUCGGGGAGGAGAUAGAGAUUCUCUUAAGUAAUUCUGACAGGGACGGGAAGGGGAUGAGGACAUACACAAAAUAUUGGGAAUGGUUACGGGGAGAUUGGUCCCCUCCCCUCCCCUCCCCAUUGCCAUCCCUAACUCCCUGACUAAAUAAUUUGGGAAUAUAAGGAUGCAAUAAGAGUUGAGUGGUCUUUAUUCCCAUAGCAUUAUUUUUUUCUCGCUUCAUCCGUGCUCUAUUCAAUCUUUAUGUGCCGCUUGUGUUAUGUUCCUGCAUAUCUAAUUACCUUUAGCUGCUUGUGUUAUGUUUACUUGUUUUGAUCUUAAUCUUUAAUCACUUAGCCUGAAUAAGAAAUAAUUUUUUAUAUUUGCUCUGCAAUGAUGUUAUUCGGUGUUAAUAGCUUCGUUUUGUUACUCUUUUCCGCACAGAUUCUUGAUCUCAACAGAACUUUUAUUUUGAAUAUUCUGCAUAAGGACAAUCUCAUUUAAUACCAUCAGUGAUUUUUCAUUUUUUUUCUCUUUAGUUUUAAUAUGUUUGAUAACUGUAUGGCUAAGCAAUCUAUGCAAUUUUAUCUUGUCGUAUGUUUGAGCUCAUUUUUUGUUGCAAUUCUGAAUAUUUGGUAUGAAUUAUGUGAUACCGGACAAUACUGUUAACUUGUUCAUUUCUUAAUUUUAAUAUCUUGUCAAAGUCACUAAUAGCAUUUCAUCAUGCUAUGAGUUAAACAUGGAACAAAUGACGACAUGCAGUUGUGGAAUGUGGUAGAUCUCUGGAAUUCUAUGUCCUUAUGCUUGUAGGGCAACACAAUACAUUAGUUAAAACAUUAAAGACUAUGAUGUCCGCAGAAAAUUAUAUGUCAACAUAUGCACCAGGCAUGAUGAAAUUAGCCAAAGACAGUGCUUGGAAACAAUUAACUAACUUUUGGCAUUAGGCGUAUCAAGUUCAAUUCGGUAUUUCACAAAACUUAAACUAACUUAUUCCUAAUUAUAGUGGACACAAUUAACUAACUUUGGCAACUGUUCUGAAGAGGAUGACUUCUUCAGGAUGACAUCAACUACCAGCGAUGAUACUAUCAGUAAGCUGCUUCUGCUAUCUAUUAAAUAUUACUGCUAAACGUAAUAUUGACAAUUUGUCUGUGUGCAGGCCUGUGAUAACCACUUGGAUCGGAUAAAGGACUGGGACAUCAACAAUUUGCCCAGAAACCAAUAAGAUAUCAUUGUAAUGUUUAAUUAUACAUGUAUUAGUUUCUCUUUGGAUGGUGCUCUUUGUUAUGCAAAAGUAUGGCGACUAUGUUUCAACCAGUGUAUCUAUUAUAUACACUAACUAUGAAUUACUAGAAAUUUUAUUACAUUAAUCAUUUUUAGAUAGCCACUCAUCUCAAACGAAACAAACUGGUCAGAGACACUUGACCCAACAUGCUUGUGAUCGACCUUAGAAUAAAUUUUUCUCACUCAAUAUAGACAACUUCUGUGAGGUUAAUAUUUCUUCAAAUGUCAAGAAAAGCAUUGGCCACAUAAAUGCAUACACAUGUUUUUGUUGGGAAGUUAAGCAGACGGGAACAACAUUGGACUAUAUACUCAUACACCAAACUUUAAUAAACUAAUAAAUAUAAUUUAAUAAUAAUUUAUUUCUCCUCGCUUAUGUGAGAAAAAGUCAAACCACAUAACGUAUUUAUAUUUUGUUAAGAAAUUUUACUGAUUGAACUAAUUAACACUAAUUUCUUAUCUCUCUUAACCAACGGAUAUUUUGAAGAUAGUUUUUUAUUUUCUAUAUUUUAUGUACUAAAUGAUUUUAAACCUCUAUCACGUCAUGAAUAAAUUGGAGUUUAGGUUGCUUAAAAUAAUAAUAAUAAUAAUAAUAAUAAUAAUAAUAAUAAUAAUUAAUAAAUGUAUUGAUGGAUUUCAUAAUCAUCCCACUUAGGGGUGGGCACGGUUCGGUUCGGUUCGAAAUUAAGUAGAACCGAUUUAAAUCGGUUAUUUUAUAAAAAGAACCGAAUAAGAACCAAACUCAAUAAGAACCAAACUCAAUAAGAACCGAACUCAAACGGUUCUUUUCGGAUCGGUUCGGUUCGGUUCGGUUUUUUCGGUUCUGGGUCUAUUGGGCCUAUUUUGAAUUUUUAAAUUUUUAGCCCAUUGGGCCUCAUAAAUGUAAUAAUUUUUUUCAACAAUUAAUUUAUCCUAAUUUUAUUACAAAUAUUAACAAUAAAUACAAAGUAUUCAAAACACAUUUUAUCACUAAUAUCUUACUAAUUAUUAAUAAGAUACUCCCAAAAUAUGAAAUAUUAAAAUUUCAAAAUACAUAACCAAACUCCAAUACUCCAUCUAUAUAAACAUAAUCAUAAUGUUAUAAAGAGAAAUAACACAUGUUUGAUUUGAAUAAAAUCAUGUUUGAUUUGAAUAAAAUUAUUAACACAUGUUUGAUUUGAAUAAAAUAAAAAAAUAAUUCGGUUCUUCGGUUCGGUUUUUUGGUUCAGCUAAGUGAACCGAAUACCGAACCGACAUUUCAGUUUUUUUUACAAACGGUAUAUUCGGUUUUUUUAAAAAAUAAAAACCGAACCGAAUUAAAAAAAACCGUCGGUUCGGUUUUUUUUAACAUUACGGUUUUUUUGCCCACCCCUAAUCUCACUCCUACGCCUCAAGACAAACAAGCUCACACUUCACGGAUCAGUCAAAGGAUCGGCUUUCAAGUCGUUGAAUUCACGGUGGUCAAACUAACGGAAAAACUAACGUGACGUCAAUCAGAUACGGUUUAUAAUAUAUGUAUCCUCAAUCAACGCAAAAAGUUUGAUCUGAAAAACCCUCUGCCUAAAACGCGUUUUCAGAAACGCGGUUUUGUUUUUCAAGUGGUUCCCAGAGCAUCCAUGCCAUGCUCUGUAUCAAUCAUUUCGUGCAUGUUUGGAGUUUGGCACGGCCAUUUUUACUGACUUUGUUAAGAAGUACUUAGAAGCUCAUUAGGAAAUGAUAACAAACGAAGCCUUGCGCUUUUACAUGUUACAUGCAUUAUUGGUAAGACGGUUGAUGAGUUACGUUAUAUGAACCCACAAUUAGUCGCCCAAUAGCCACCAUAUAUUAAAUAAUCAGUCAAAUUUUGAAUUGGGUAGUUAACUAAUUUCGAAUUACCGUAAGUCAUAAAUAAUGCAGGUUAGUAAGACCCGAGCCUAGGCAAAUUAAGGUCGUUAUCGCCUCUAAAUCAAGGCUGCAUAACCCAAAGUUAAGGGCACAUGUUCGAGUCCCAACUCCACAGUGUUGGAACUCUAUUAUAGUAUUAUUCCCUUUCACAUUAAAAGGAUAGGAUGGUUAUUUCUCUUACAUAUGUAGAUAGAUCAAAUAUAUCUUCUAAAUAAUAAUAGAUUUAUCAUUUUAAAGAGUUGUUUUAGAUAUGUGGAUAGAUCAAAUAAUAGACACCCUUUCCAUGAAAGGAGACUCAUUGAUUAUUGUUAAAAAAAAAAUUCGUUGAUGUUAUUAGAGAACUUGCAAUUUUUUUAUAACACUAAAUUUUUUAAUUUUUUAAGAUUUUUCUAUGAAUAGCAUGAAUUUUUUAUAGCAUUGGUAAUGAGGAUAUUAUGGACCUUUAGAUUUAAAUAUUUUAAUCUUCGCCAUUCAUUCAAUUUAGUGGAUAAAUAACUAAUUACUUAAUUUUUCAAGUUGCAUGUAGUAUAUAAGUUUAUGUAUGUAAUUCUAUUUUUAAUAAAUAAAUAAAUAAAUUUUAAAUCACUAACAAAAAAAAAUGCAAAUAUGUAUGUUAGUUUAGACGUGUACAUAAUAGAUAUGAAUUGAUAUUAUUUAAUUAUUGCACAAGACAUGCUAAUAAUGAUCUCUUUUGUCAAUAAUAAUCAGGAGAAUAAAAUGUUAAUUUCUUGAUUUUACUGGAUGGCUAAGAUCGAGUUAAGUCAAUUUUCGUUAUAUUUGUUAAUCUAAUAAUAUGUUGGCGAAAAAGAGGGAAUAUGAUUACAAACUAAGAUUGAGUUAAUUUUUUUAAUUCAGUCUUUAAAAAAUUGUACAACUGGUUUGAUAAUUGGUUAAUGAAAUUUUAAAUAACUAAAAUCAAGAUAUUAUUUUAACUAUAACUUCUAAUUUUGUACCAAACGUUGAUGAUCUUGAUGGGCGCAGAGGAUAGUUGGGUACGGUGCUGUAGUGGGCAACUAUGAGGAUAAAGUGAUGGUGACUGGAAUUGACAUAGGGGUAUACUUGGAUGAUGUUGAUUAUAGUGCGGCUGAGGCUUUAUGCUUUAGCUUAGAGUUGCUUAUCAAGAAUCUAUUAAUAACACAUUAUACUCAUACACCAAAGUUUAAUCUGAAUGAAUCAAGUAAUUCUAUGUUAAUAAAAGUUUUUAGACUUACGAUGAGGGUCUAGUUUAUAUAAAUGCAAAUAACACUGAAAUCUAAUAAUCCUUUACAAAUAAAUAUGAUUUAUUCAAUUAUCGCAAACAAUUGUUUUAUCAGAGUUAAUUACAUUAUUGCUAAACUUGUAUAAGCUUUCCUGUUUCAAGCAUAUCUACUUAAUUACAUUAUUCAUCGACAAUGUUACUUUGCUAGUAGAAGUUUUAUGUUUUCAUACCUUAAUCACUAUUUAACGCUUCGUUUUCCAAUAGUUCUAAUUCUUCAAAUUUUGGUUUUAUUCUUCCAUAAUUAUAAAUUGAUACUGAUUCGCACGACUCAAAUUAAAGUGGUUAAUUACUCUAAAAGUAUAAAUUUGGCAGUCAAUAAUUACUUAAAAAUAAUUGCAAAAAAAUUAAUAAGGAAUAGUAUAAAUUUAAAAACCGCUAAAGUUACGAGAUCCAUGCUUGAUAUUUAAAUCAUGGUCAUAAUACUCUUUCUCUCUCUCUCUCUCUCUCACACACACACACACAUAUAUAUAUAACCACUUUCAAUAUUAUGUUACUUAGUUCUUAAUUAACCGCUCUAUAAAUAAAUAUGAGAAUUAAGUACAUAUUAUGCUACAACCUUAUUGGAGUGUUCCCACUACCAUAUUAGUAGUCAACAUUAGGUCUAAACACCCACAUAAUAUUUUUGGUGAACUUGCAACCACAACCUUUAAAUUAGGGGUGGGCACGGUUCGGUUCGGUUCGAAAUUAAGUAGAACCGAUUUAAAUCGGUUAUUUUAUAAAAAGAACCGAAUAAGAACCAAACUCAAUAAGAACCGAACUCAAACGGUUCUUUUCGGAUCGGUUCGGUUCGGUUCGGUUUUUUCGGUUCUGGGUCUAUUGGGCCUAUUUUGAAUUUUUAAAUUUUUAGCCCAUUGGGCCUCAUAAAUGUAAUAAUUUUUUUCAACAAUUAAUUUAUCCUAAUUUUAUUACAAAUAUUAACAAUAAAUACAAAGUAUUCAAAACACAUUUUAUCACUAAUAUCUUACUAAUUAUUAAUAAGAUACUCCCAAAAUAUGAAAUAUUAAAAUUUCAAAAUACAUAACCAAACUCCAAUACUCCAUCUAUAUAAACAUAAUCAUAAUGUUAUAAAGAGAAAUAACACAUGUUUGAUUUGAAUAAAAUCAUGUUUGAUUUGAAUAAAAUUAUUAACACAUGUUUGAUUUGAAUAAAAUAAAAAAAUAAUUCGGUUCUUCGGUUCGGUUUUUUGGUUCAGCUAAGUGAACCGAAUACCGAACCGACAUUUCAGUUUUUUUUACAAACGGUAUAUUCGGUUUUUUUAAAAAAUAAAAACCGAACCGAAUUAAAAAAAACCGUCGGUUCGGUUUUUUUAACAUUACGGUUUUUUUGCCCACCCCUAAUCUCACUCCUACGCCUCAAGACAAACAAGCUCACACUUCACGGAUCAGUCAAAGGAUCGGCUUUCAAGUCGUUGAAUUCACGGUGGUCAAACUAACGGAAAAACUAACGUGACGUCAAUCAGAUACGGUUUAUAAUAUAUGUAUCCUCAAUCAACGCAAAAAGUUUGAUCUGAAAAACCCUCUGCCUAAAACGCGUUUUCAGAAACGCGGUUUUGUUUUUCAAGUGGUUCCCAGAGCAUCCAUGCCAUGCUCUGUAUCAAUCAUUUCGUGCAUGUUUGGAGUUUGGCACGGCCAUUUUUACUGACUUUGUUAAGAAGUACUUAGAAGCUCAUUAGGAAAUGAUAACAAACGAAGCCUUGCGCUUUUACAUGUUACAUGCAUUAUUGGUAAGACGGUUGAUGAGUUACGUUAUAUGAACCCACAAUUAGUCGCCCAAUAGCCACCAUAUAUUAAAUAAUCAGUCAAAUUUUGAAUUGGGUAGUUAACUAAUUUCGAAUUACCGUAAGUCAUAAAUAAUGCAGGUUAGUAAGACCCGAGCCUAGGCAAAUUAAGGUCGUUAUCGCCUCUAAAUCAAGGCUGCAUAACCCAAAGUUAAGGGCACAUGUUCGAGUCCCAACUCCACAGUGUUGGAACUCUAUUAUAGUAUUAUUCCCUUUCACAUUAAAAGGAUAGGAUGGUUAUUUCUCUUACAUAUGUAGAUAGAUCAAAUAUAUCUUCUAAAUAAUAAUAGAUUUAUCAUUUUAAAGAGUUGUUUUAGAUAUGUGGAUAGAUCAAAUAAUAGACACCCUUUCCAUGAAAGGAGACUCAUUGAUUAUUGUUAAAAAAAAAAUUCGUUGAUGUUAUUAGAGAACUUGCAAUUUUUUUAUAACACUAAAUUUUUUAAUUUUUUAAGAUUUUUCUAUGAAUAGCAUGAAUUUUUUAUAGCAUUGGUAAUGAGGAUAUUAUGGACCUUUAGAUUUAAAUAUUUUAAUCUUCGCCAUUCAUUCAAUUUAGUGGAUAAAUAACUAAUUACUUAAUUUUUCAAGUUGCAUGUAGUAUAUAAGUUUAUGUAUGUAAUUCUAUUUUUAAUAAUGACAAUUGAUUGUGUUAGCAUUUUGGUCAAAAAGGUGGACCCCCCCAAAAACAAACAAAAAAAAUUUAUGAUAAUAAUUAACAUUGAUAAAUAAAAAUAUUAAUAAUGGGUGUGUUAGCAUUUUGGUCCAAAGCCGAUUUGGCCUUGACAUUAAUUGGAAUUUUGGAUCUAUAAUAUGAUUUUCACCGAAAAGAUAAUUUUGCCGCUAAUUAUUUGGGUAGUCAGAUAAUAAUAACAAAAAAAUGUUAUCUCGAUCUCACCUAUAACUUGAGGAGAUAAUAAUGAUAGUCUUUCAUAAUACUCUACUGUUUAGUUUCUCUUCUUCAUUUUUUUCCCCUUUGAAGUCUUUCAACAAAAAUGGGUGGCAUCAUCUCAACCUUCUUCUCAGCGGACACAAUUCGUCCAAUUUUAUUUUACGUCGGUGGACGAGCAAAGUAUAUAUGGGGUCUUAAAGGUAAUCUCGAUGACUUGCAAACUGAAACGGAGAACUUGAUUGCGAAAAAACUAGAUCUACUGAAUAAGGUUAGGCUUGCCGAACAACAACAGCCUCGUGCCCAACGGACGAGCACGGUGAAACUCUGGUUCGAAAGGGUGGAUCGAAGUGUAACUCUUGUUGAGGGGCUGCAACAAGAAAGAGAUCAAGAGAUUGACAGAUUGUGUCUUGGAGGCUUCUGUUCCAAGGACUUGAUUUCAAGCUACGACUUCGGCAAAAAGGUGGAGAAGUUGAAGGAAGAAGUAAUCAAAUUGAGGGAAAAAGGAGAAGCAAUGAAAGAAGUUUAUGAGGGGUUACCAGAAGGUGCAGCGGUUGCAAUAGCUGUUGACCGAACAAUUGUUGGUCAAGAAUCAAUACUUGACCAAGUUUGGAGAUGCAUCACUGAUCAAAAAAAGAAUAAUGGAAUUAUUGGCUUAUAUGGUAUGGGGGGCAUCGGCAAAACUACUCUGUUAAAACAAGUCAAUAACAAAUUCUGCAGUGAGGAGCAUGAUUUUGAUGUCGUUAUCUGGUCGGUUGUAUCUAGAGAGCCAAACUUGAAGCAGAUUCAAGAGGAUAUUGGGAAAAGGAUAGGCUUCUCAACAGAUUCAUGGCAGAGAAAAAGGUUUGAAGAAAGGGCUUCAGACAUCACCAACACUUUAAAGCAUAAGAAGUUUGUAUUGUUAUUGGAUGAUAUAUGGGAGUCCGAAAUUGAUUUAACCAAAUUGGGCGUCCCUCUUCAGACACUAGAUUCUGGGUCCAGAAUAGUCUUCACAACUCGUUUUGAGGGUACUUGUGGUAAAAUGGGAGCCCAUAAGAAUCGGUACAAAGUGUUUUGUUUGGGAGAUGACGAUGCCUGGAAAUUAUUUGAGGGGGUGGUCGGGAGAUACGUUCUUAACAAGCAUCCCGACAUUCCGAAGUUAGCCGAGGAUGUGGCACGUCAGUGUCAUGGUUUGCCGCUAGCACUCAAAACAGUAGGUAAUGCCAUGGCGAGCAAAGUGUACCCUGAAGAAUGGAAAGAAGCAAUUGAGAUCCUAAGCGCAUCAGCUUCUAAAUUCGAAGAUAUGGAGAAAAAGGUGCUUUCGAGCUUAAAGUUCAGCUAUGAUAGUUUGCCGAAAGAUGAACUUCGAUCUUGUCUCCUGUACUGUUGCUUAUUUCCCGAAGACUCUGAAAUUCUAAAAACCGAGUUGAUAGAGUAUUGGAAAAGUGAAGGAUUUGUGCAUUCUAGCAGCGGGUGGGGGGUUCUUGGUGCUCUCGUUCGUGCAUGCUUAUUGGAGGAAGCAGGUGAUCGUGUAAAAAUGCACGAUAUGAUCCGUGACAUGGCAUUAUGGAUAGCAAAUGAAGUAGAGGAGGAGGAGGAGAACUUUUUGGUUCGUGCAGGAGUUGGAUUAACUGACGCCCCAAAGAUUGAAGAAUGGGAAGGGGUCAAAAGGAUAUCCUUGAUGCAGAACAAAAUUCAAAGUCUACCACAAAUUCCCUCUUGUCCGCGUCUGCAAACAUUGCUUCUGGCGAGUAAUCGUAUUAAGGAGAUCACUGAGAGUUUCUUUCAAUCUUUGCCUUCACUUAGAGUUUUGAGUCUAAGAAGAAAUCGUUCCCUGACUGAACUUCCUGUGGGGAUUUCAAGUCUGGUUUCAUUACACCAUCUUGAUAUGUCUUCUACUAAAGUACGUGGAUUGCCGCAAGAGCUCAAGGCAUUGGUGAAUCUGAGAUAUUUGAACUUGGAGUAUACACGUGGAAUGUCUAGAAUUCCACAGCAAUUAAUAUCAAGCUUUUCAAAGUUACAGGUACUCAGGAUGCUGCGUUGCGGUCGACGUUACCAGCCAAUAGUGGAAGAAGGCAACGUUCUAUCUGCUGAUGCUGAAUCAUUGAUGAAGGAAAUCCACUGUUUGGAACAAUUAAAUCUCAUCACCUUGUCCUUACAUGGUUCGCGUGGUGUUGAAAACUUUCUGAAAUUCCCAAAGCUGCAGAAUAUCACUCAAGCUCUGUCCAUCGAAGACUGCAACAGUCUACCGCUCAAUUUGUUACAUCUAGCAAACAUGGAGCAUCUUGAGGAGUUAUAUAUCGAGGAUAGUAAUUUGGAAGACUGGAAUGUCGACUGCGCGGGAGAGGUACAAAAAAUGCGUAAACUUCACUCGGUUCUCAUACGGAAUUGCUCAAAUGUGAAGGACUUGACGUGGCUUGUUUUUGUUCCAAAUCUCAAGUGGCUGCGAAUAGUUGGUUGUGAUGACAUGGAAGAAAUAAUCAGUGUUGAAAAAUUUGAAAAAUUGAGUGAAGUUUCAGAGAUGAUGGGAGAGCUUAACUUGUUCUCAGAACUCGAACUUCUGGUAAUAAGAAAUGCAAGUAAUUUGGAGCGCAUCUACCGCGAUCCCUUGCCCUUUCCACAGCUGAACCGAAUUAGCAUAUUGAAAUGCCCAAAGUUGAAGAAGCUCCCACUCAAUUCCAGCAGCGCAAAGGGACGUAAAAUUGCCCUUGCGGGACAGAAAGAAUGGUGGGAAGAGCUACAAUGGGAGGAUCAAGCCACUCAAAAUGCUUUCUCUCCCUGUUUCCGACCUAUUGAAGAAUAAAGUGCGAUAAGGCACAAAAGUGUGAAUAAAAUUUCUGCGCGUGCUUAAUGAUUAUCUUGUCUAUCUAUUUCAUUUAAUUUAAAAGUUUUCUACGGAGUUGCAUGUGUGUCACUUGUCAUUCUUCUGUACUGCUGUUUCCUAUUUCCAGUUAAUAAAAUUUUUUUGUUCUUAGAGUUAGAAAUGCUUUACUUGUAAGGGAGAUUCACAAUUUUCCCAUAUUAUGAUUAAUAUAUUCUUUUUACUUUCCUACUAUUUUGCAUAAUUUUUUAAUAUUAUUUUUAUUUCUAAAUAUAUUUUUAUUCAUAUUUAUUAUAAAUUAAAUAAAUGUAUGAAUAGAAAUAAAAAUAAAAAUAAAAAUUAAGUAUUAAAACAAGAAAUAUAUAUUAUGAUUUGAAUAAAAAAUAAAUAUUUUUUUGUACUUAGAAUGCCAUUUGUCGUGAGCACCUGAAUCCCCAAAGGACUCCCAGCUUCAAGUGGCUUUGACUUAGCUUGCUUUAGCUCCAUUGCACAUACUCACUCACAUGGAGGAAAUGAACAGAACAAGAAACCUCAUCAUGCCGAAUAUGAUAGAUAUGACAAGGCAUUACAUUGUAGGAAGCUCCCGAUUUCUCUAAAAAACUCUGCAGGUUCUCCGCAAUCAAGGCGUGCUCCAUCUUUAACAGAUCACUUCUACCAUUAAGAGAAGGAAGAGAGUUCCUCUCGUGUGACAGUAAAUCCUUACUUAACACAGGAUUGGAGCCAACCAAGAAGGGAAGGCAAUUUCGUUAGAUUAAGAAUCGAAUCACCAUCCAAUAUAGUAGCAUUUGAACCAGAACUCUUGUUAAAUUCUUGAAAUCUCCUGCUUUCAUCAGUCUGUAAGAGAAAUGAAGAUGAGAAUAAUAGCCAGAACCGGAUUAAAUUCAAUCUGGUCUUUUGAAGACUUCUAUAACAACUAAGAGAACCCAGUGUACCGCCUACAGAUACUGUCAGGCUUCUAUCAAAUAUCCCAAACACCAAAAACCAACCAAAUUAAGCUAACAAACCUGCAUGAAUAUCUAAAUUUCAAUGCAUAUGAAACAAACUCCAUGUUCAAUCCACCAAAACUAGCAAAUUUCAAACUUUAUCACUCAUCAUUCUCUCUCUGUCAGCUGUACGAGGCUAUGAGAUCAUGUUAUAAUGUUCAUAUUGAUGCUGAAUGUUUUGCCAGCUUGUCUGAAUUCCAUAAGAGAAUGCAAUGUGCACAUUAUUGUGCCUUGCCCACCAGUAGAUUCUAAACCACAAAAUCAUUCUGUGAAGUAGCUGACGUUUCGCACAUUCUUAUCCCUUACCAUCAAUAUUCUUCUCCUCAAGCUUAGAUCAUGGAAAUUUGAGUGAUAACACGAUCUAAACUUUAGGGGCAUAAAGUAACAUAGAAGCAACAUGGGAUGUUUUAAAAUCUAUUAUAAUUUGCUUAGGCCCCUGAAUAAAAUUAAAACUUGAAAUGAAAUAAAGUAGCAAAAUAAAGAUUGGAGGUCGCAUGCUUGAUAUUUGAUGCUGUCAAAAUUAAUUUGCAGUGCUGAAAUUGCUGCUCCAAUAAAUUUUUCAAUGGGAUUUCCAUAUUUACAACAAAUUUUCAGUAUUGAAACAGGAUUAAAAUCAUAAAGUGUCUUUUAAACAGCAGAGGCAACAAGAUCCUACAGAAAAAGAAGGCAAAAAGUAGUUACAAGCUACAGAAACGCAAAUAUUCUACUGGCCAACUCCCACUAAAUUCGAAGCGAUUCUAAAAUCUCAGCUUGUACUACUACAUCAUUCCUUCUAUGUAGCCCAACUGUACUUCACCCAGAAAUCACAUUUCUUCAUCAGAGAUAAUUUUACAUCAUUCCUUAUCAUUAGGCAUAAGGCUCCCAAUGUUCUUGGAGGAAUUAUGAUGAAUAUGAGGGUUUCAAAAAAGAAAAAAAAAUAUUAUGACAACCUCUAGGCGGAGGAAAUCAGUUUUCUAGGAAUUCGUUAGAUUGGUGAAGUUAUAGAACCUUAGCAAUUUGCUGUAGUUUGGAAUGUUUUUGCCUUUCAUUAUAGCAUUUGCAAAGGCUCAAGGAUAUAGAAGAACCUUGGCUACAAAUUCAGGGAAGAUUUCACUUAUAAUGAGAAAUAAUCACCAUUAUUCUAUACAAUGAGAAAACAGUUAUGGAAGAAAUAGAAAGAAUUACCCGAAACGAAGGAUUUGGAAGACAAUGAGACAAAAGUAUAAAGAAGAAGAAAUUGGAGAUAUAAUGGCUGCCAAUUUCUUUGAUGAACCCAUCAAAAACGGCUUGAAAAUUAAAGAAAUUGUCAAAUGCUGUAACGGAGGAAUUGAAACUGUAAAAGAUGCAAGUUAAUUCAUGGGGCUGGCCAUCUUGAUUGAUUGAACACCUACACGUGACAAGUGUGCGAUAAUCGUUAUAUCUUCAAUUUUAGGCAGUUUUUCAUUUCUUUUAUUUUAAUAGUAAAAAAAUACGCCAUUUUAGAUACAAAUGCCCCUGACUAGCCCUUUUGUAAGUUACAUUGUUUGGUGCGAUAGUCCCGCACGUGCUUGACAUUUGCCGAAUAUCUUAUGCGCAUUUUUUUUCCCCUCUAACUCAUUGUGUAUGCUCAUCUUUAUGUGCGUUAUUACCUAAACUUAUAUACCAAUCAAAAUAAAUCAUAAAGUAUCAAACGCUUUUAAAUGAUUUUUAAUAUUAAAGAACUCACUUUAAUGAUGUUUAAUUGGUAGUAGCCCUUUAUAGUCUUUAAACCUUUAGCAGUGCAAAGUCACAAGCUUUGUCCAGAAUCUAAUGGCGUAGAUUAUAGGCGAUGGGUGCCAUCACCUGGGCAACGACGUACAUCGCUUGGGCGACAAGCCAAUUUACUAGGCUCAUCGCAAACAGCCUUCGUCGCCUGGGCGAUGGCCAAAUCCAUCCAAUAAACUUUCAGCUCAUGUUUGAUAGCCUAAAAAAAGUAGUUAUGGUGACCAUCACACAUCACAUUUUACUGACAAGGUGUCUUAAUUUUCAUAGAAAAUUGUUCCUACUGAUUUUCCAAUCCUGGCCUAAUACUUGCAGAUUAUUAAACGAUUAUGGAAUGGCAGCAAACCGGCGCCGCGGAGGGGGGCCGGCCCGGGGUUGUUGUGCUGAUUUGGGAGGGGUAAUAAACCCUCUGAGGCAAUUUAGCAAACAUAUUAUGUGCCAUGAUUUUAGACCAGUAAUUUUGUCAAUAAUAGCUAAUUCGCAAUCCCAUUACAAAUCUAAUAAUCUAUUGCAUACACGCUCUUGAUGACUUGGAUUCUCAAAAAAUAAUCAUUUUACGCCGCUGAGGCGCAGAAAAAUCAAUUGUGUUGUCCCUUUAUACUUUUUCAUUUGUUUUGCCCACGUCCAAAUAAAACAGAUUCUGGUAAAUGUGAUAAGGAAAUGUUUGUUUCAAUUUCCAACCCAUAUCUCAUAAAGAAUUUCUCACUCAAAUAAAUAAAUAUUAUCCGGUAAUGGUAUGACAUUUAUUUUGAAGUAAACACCGGCACGCCAUUUUCUCAUUUUUUUCAUUUUUUGAGGACACCAUUUUCUCAAUUGAAGAAUAUAUUUUGGCCAAAAUUCACAAUGUUCUCCACAUGAUUUAAAGCACACAGAAUUCACACUUGUCUCCACAUGAUUUAAAAGCACAAGGAAUUCUCUUGACCUUAAUUACGAAUCUUUUUAUGUUUAUUGAAAUCCAAUAUUGUUGACUCAUUGGUGUAGCCAGAAAAUCAUAUUAAUAUAGUAGAAUUUAUAAAUAACCAAAGAAAAAAGUUCACGCUCUUACUUUAUUACUUUUAUAAUUUUAUUAGUACAUCUACUAACAUGUCUUCAUAAAAUAUAGUUUUAAGAGGAUAUUUUUAUGGUUGUAGAUAUUUUUAUUUUUCUUCUUAAUAAUAGAUUUAAUUUUCAUCUUUCUAAUGUUAAGUUGCACAUUUGGACUAAAUCAGAUUAAAUUUCAAAUUAGAUGACAGGCCUUAUUUUAAUAGAUUCAAUUGGAUUUUGGACAUCUAAUUAAACAACUGGAUUAAUAAAUUGCAAAUGAAUGAGAUUUAUAUGUGAUUUUAAAAUAAAAUUUGAACUUAAAUCUAUGUAUUCAAUUAAUCCAACAAGACAAAUUUAUAAUUUCUACCACCUAAAUAAAAUAUGUUAUCAGAAACUUUUGGACCAAGUAGGGGCAGUUCAUCACUUCGUCGGCCUGCUACUACUUAUACUCCUUUCUCAUUCAACUUUCACAUCUUUUAUAUUAUAUACAAACUAGAUUUGUCAUGCAAGUAUUUGACAGAAGAAAUCUCAUUGGAAAUCGGACAACUUCAAGAAAUUCAUUUAUUGAAUUUGUCACAUAAUUGCUUGUCGGUUUAUAAACCAAAAAGGUAUUCCAAAUUAAAAGUGGUAGAGAGCCUAGACUUUUCUUACAACAGAUUAAGUGGUAGAAUUCCUCCUUAAUAGACUGAGCUCAAUUUUUUGAUCUGUCUUCAAGACGUCAUACAACAACUUGUCCAACCUGAUACCAAACAAAGAGCAGUUUGCCACAUUCAAUGAAGGCAGUUAUGGAGGAAAUCUGCAUCUUUGUGGUCCAACAGUUAAUAAGAGUUGCAACAAUGCGGAGGAAAUACCAGCAAUAGAAUCCAAUCGAGGAGAAGAUGAAGAUGAAUGUGCAAUUGAUAUGGUGUCAUUCAGUUGGAGUUUCGGUUCAUCAUAUGUCACAUUCAUCAUGGGGUUUUUCGCGAUACUUUGGAUAAACUCAUACUGGCGCAGAAUGUGGAUCUAUUACAAUCAUGUAUUCACUAGGCCAUACGCGUGAUGUGCUUUUCUGCUAAAACUAGUUCACAAAUGUGAUUUCAUUAAAAUUAGUCUAUACACAUCUUUCCCUUGGCUUUUGUUGGCUCCAACUCCGGACUUUUAUUCAUAUCAUUACUUUAUGUAGUUUCCCCAAAAGGCUUGUGAUGAUUAAUGCAGUUUAUAAAUUAUUACUACUACAAUAAUGAUAUAAUAAAUAAUUUUUUUUAAGUUGUAAAAGUGAGAAAUACUAAAGAGAUCUUUAUUACAUCAUUAAUGUUCGAUCAAGAAUUUCCUCAUCCGAGCUUGCAGUCUGUGGAGGAGACUGUAUCAAUGUCGAAAUUCUCCGGACCGGCACUAUUUGCUGUUUCUCCAUUGAAUAGUGCGUCUUACUACAACAAGGUGAAACACAGCCCAGUGUUCUGAUUGGGCCCAAUGCGAAAAACAUAAAACCCAAAUUUUUGUUGACUUUGGGCCUGCUCAAAUACCAUGCCCAAUUGUGUCUAGUUGUAACAAAAGCGGCGAGAUGUUCAUGCCCAAACCCGCAAGAUUGUUUUAAUAUUUAAAAUUUAACAUGAUUCUAGAAUUUUUGUUAAUAAAAAAUAAACCACCAAGAUUCUAGUGAAUAACAAAUGUAUACAUAUACACGUGCUGUGUAGACCGGGCCAAUUCUUGUGGAAUUCUCCAACAACCAUCCUGAUUCUUGAAUUGCCGCGAAAAUUCCGCAAGCGAUGAACCCUCUCUUACGCACCACUCAUUCUCUAUCACAAUGAUCAAAAUAAAGACGAGGACGGAGACUAUUAAUCACUGAGAGUGAUUUUCUCAAUAUUUGUCAAUCACUACUAAGAUUCAUUGUCAAUCAAUAAUAUCAAUUGACACAAAGAUUGAUUGUCUUUUUUUUUUUUUCGAGAAUAUCAGUGCUUGAAUACAUUAUUUGAUAUAUAUAAUUCAAUGUAAACUCAAUCAUACUCUUAAAUUAUUUUUAUAAAUUCUCAAUAUCAGUCUUUGAUUUUAAUUCGAGUUUUGAUUCAAAUUAAUGCAAGGAUACAAAAGGACUCAAGAGCUUCAUAUAUCAAUUCUAUGUUAUUAACUUAUUAUUUCGGUGUACACCACAAAUUUAUGAGUAAUUUAUUAAAAUGUCUAAACAUAUAUGAAAAAUAGUUGAUUAUUGAUUUUCACAAAUUUCAAUAUAUCAAACAUCCUAUCGAGUUAUUAAUUCCAAAGCACAUUAUUUAAGAAUCAAUGCUAGAAUAAAUUAUUUGAUAAUUUCAAACCCAAAUUUACGCUUAAAUUCUUUAAAUUAUCUCAAUCAACUUUUUUUUUUCUUAGCUGACCAUCUAUAUCAGCUAUUGGAAAAAAAAAUAGAAUUGACGACUACUUGUAUGUUGGCCUAAUUUGAAAGUCAAUCAACAUUUAUUUUCCAUGUAAUGUUAAUGAAGCAUUUCCCUCAUUGGUCCAACAUUGCAACAUGUGGAAUUUCAGGCUUACAAUUCCUCAUUAGUCAUUACAGAUACCGAAAUUGAUUGUCAGACAAUAUUGUCAUUUCAAUAUAUGCCACAAUUUUAUGAGUAAUUUACUAAAAUCUUUAAAUAUAUAAAAUUUGCAUGUGUGUAAUAAACCUGUAUUUAUAUAUAAAAUUUGCAUAUUUAAAUUGCACCUCUCCAUGCAUCAUAUAAAAUGUCAUUUCAAUGUGAUCCACACUUUUAUGAGUUAAUAACUAAAUAUUGUCACUAAAUUUUUCCUAAUUGUUGCAUGCAUUAGAUUUUUUUACGAAAAAAAAAACAUGCUACAUUAAGUGUAAAACAAUUGAGGAAAAGAUUAGAGAACACAAUGAGAAAAGAAAUUUUUUAUACAACCUUUUCAUCAAUAAAAAUCAUAUUCAUACUAAUCAAUUCUUCAUUCCUCUUGGUAUUAACAGACUCUCACAUCCUACAAAAUCUAACCCUUAUCAUCCAACUAUCUUUAUCAUUAUUUAACUCAUGAAGAAAAGAGUACUCCAUGAAGCACACAAUACUAAAAAUUCAAAUAAGUCAAAAAUAAAAAUGCAAGAAUAUUUCUAAGGAGGAUGUUGGUUAAAUAAUAAAAAACCCAAACAUAACAAAUCUUAAAUACUUAAUGUUUAUAGACUUUGAAGAAGUCAAAAGACAUUAAACAAAAUGUUGCAUAAUUAAAUAUGGAAUUAUGACAUUAAAAUUAGGCCCUAAUGGCAUUGGUGAGUGAAGAUGAAGGAACCUUCCUUCCUAUAUUAAUUAGUUGAUGUAUUUUAAGUCACUAAAGUUUAGUUGUUGGCUUAAUAAAAUAAAUGAAUGUUUCAAGACUUAUAAUUAAUUAUUAUUAAUGGUUGCAUAUUAUUGAAUUUAAAUAGAAAGAGGAAGAGACAUGUAAUUUUUUGUAAUCUAAUAAUUAUUUUCUAUUUUGUAAUGUAAUUAUUUUUUAAUCUCAACCAAUAUAUUAGAUAAUAGAGAAUAUAAAAAGAUAAGAAAUAAUGAUGUCACAAAUCUUAAAUACUUAAUGUUUACAGAGUUUGAAGAAGCGAAAAUGCACUAAACAUAAGGUUGCAUAAUUAAAUAUAGGAUUAUGGUAUUAAAAUUAGGCUCUAAUGGCAUUGUUGAGGGAAGAUGAAAGAAACUUUCUUCCUAUAUUAAUUAAUUGAUGUAUUUUAAGCCACUAAAGUUUAAUUGUUGGCAUAAUAAAAUAAAUGAAUGUUUUAAGACUUAUAAUUAAUUAUUAUUAAUGGUUACAUAUUAUUGAAUUUAAAUAGAAAGAGGAAGAGACAUGUAAUCUUUUGUAAUCUAAUAUUUAUUUUCUAUUUUUAAUAUUUUGUAAUGUAAUUAUUUUUUAAUCUCAACCAAUAUAUUAGAUAAUAGAGAAUAUAAGAAUAUGAGAAAUAAUGAUGUCACAUCACCUCUUGUAGUCCCAACUCUCUCUCUCUCUCUCUCUCUCUCUCUCUCUCUCUCUCUCUAUAUAUAUAUAUAUAUAUAUAUAUAUAUAUAUAUACAUACAUAUUAUUUUCUAAAAAGUAUUUCUAAUUGUUUAACGUUUUAUUUAUGAGUAUUUUUAAGAGUUUAAAAAAUAUGGGAAACAGAAUCAAUUUUAUCAAAUAAAAAGAAUAUUGGUCAUUUUCUUCAUAAAGAAAGUGUUAAAAUACUUUUGGUAUUUAAGAAGUAACAAUUUUUUUUUUUGUUUCAUAAAAAAAGCAUUCAAAAUUAUAUUAAAUAAAAUUAAAGAUUAACAAAACUGACGUCUGAAUUUCGUGUAAAUUAUAAUAAGUUUAUCUCCAGCAUGAAUGACAUUAUAGCGUGGCUAGCAUCAUCAAAAUUCUGGUAACAUUCCAAGGUUGUCAAACUAAUCAUCUCAAAAUGUCAUUAUACUUGUAGCGUGCGGGCAUCAUCUUUACUUUCAGCAUCAAAAUUCUUUUAUUUAAUACACUUUUAUUUUAUACAAUUUUUAUCAUAUUAAAAUCCUUUGUAAUUUAAGCUCUCUCGGACUUUUAAAAAUGUUAUGCCACCCCUUCUUUAGCAGUAAUAGUAUAUGAUUAUGAUUUAAUUAUUUUAUUUUUUAAUUUAUCAAACACCAAUCACUUAAAUUUAACCUAAGAAAAAAUUAGAACAUCAGAUAAUUUUAAUUGAUUCUUAUUAAGUACUAGAAUUAACUGCUCCCAAUGAUAAUUUAUUAAGCAAACCAUAGUGAUCAUCUUACACUAAAGAACCAACCCAUCUUCAAAACACAAGAAUUUAGUACAAAUAAUUAUCCCAAUAAAGUUUAACGAAAAAGGAAAGAGAUAUUUUUAUUAUUUCUUUUCCUUUCUUUCAUUUCAAUUUCUUGCCUCCUGAGCUCUUCUAAAAGCCAACCAAACCACUUAUUUAAAAAAAAAAAAAAGGAACCAGACAAAGCGCAAGAAAAAAAAUUAAAAAAUUCGCAGUCUACACACAUCCCAGCACCGUAUGCGUCCAAUAAUUCAUCUCCAAUAAUUGCCCCUAUAUGACCACCGGUUUGUACUUGCAUAUAUGUGAAACAGGAUAAAAUCACAAUGUGUCAUUUAAUUAGCAGAGGUAACAAGAUCCUACAGAAAAGGGUUUACAGGAAAAGAAAGGAAAAAAAAUUGUUACAACAUACAGAAACCCAAAUAUUCUACUGGCUAACCCCCAUUAAAAUUCGAAACCAUUCUUAAAUCUCAGCUUAUACUACUUCAUCAUUCCUUCUGUGUACCCCCAACUGAAUUUCUGGCAGAAAUCACAUUUCUUCGUUAGCCUCAACUCAUGCAUCUUUUACUUUUAAUCAAACAUACUUUUUUAUCUGCUGGGCUUUUUAACAAAGAAUAAUUUUCCUUAGAUCUUUUCUAAUAGACAAGAAAGCACAAAGCACAAAUAUCUAGGAAUGUUUUUGCCCUUCAUCAUAGCACUUGCAAAGGCUCCAGGGUAUAGAAGAACCUUGGCUACAAAUUCCUGGGAAGACUUCACUUAUAAUCAACUGGAAGGAUGUCACCUCUACGGGCGUUGUACAUUUUCCACUUCUACGUGGUAUCCUGCAGAAACAAACAAUAAAACACGUGUUAUACAAGUAUUUUUUAAGUAUGAAAUACAUCAAAAGCAUUUAUGAUGCCAUUAAGUUUAGUCAAUACAAUCUCUCAAGGCAGGACAAGAGAUUUGAGAUUCAAACUCCACCUACGUAGGAAAGGAAUGUCAAAAAGAAAUGCGGUUGGGAUAGGUUAUUACGUUUUAUUCUUUUUAUUACUAGAAUUGAAUAAUGCUGCCUUUGACAGUAAAAUAAACGUCAAGUGAUAAUUGAAUUAUAAAAAAGUGAGGUAAAUGGUGAGAAAUAAUCACCAUUAUAAUUUAUAAUAUAAAAUGAGGAAAUAAUUAUGGAAGAAAUGGAAAGAAUUACCUGAAAAGAGGGAUUUGGAAGACAAUGAGACAAAAAUAUAAGGAAGAAGAAAUCGAAGAUAUAAUGCCUGCCCAUUUCUUUGACGAACCUGUAAAAUGUCGUGAUUGAGGGAAUUAAACCGUAUGACGUUUAUGAAAUACUAACUAGGCAACCCAAGAGGGGGGUGAAUUGGGAUUUUAAAAAUUAUCCUAGGCAAACCACACAACAAUUUAAUCUAAUGCCUUAAUAAAUUCGAAAACAAUAAAUUCAAUAAAAGCACAAUAAUAAAUGAGUAAGGGAAGAGAAAGCAAACCCAAGGAUUUUUACGUGGUUCGGCAAUCCCCGCCUACGUCCACGCCUCCAAGCACACCGGGCUUGAGGAUUUUACUAAGCUAGCCUCCCAAGGCUUCAAACGCUUACAAUUGACUUCCAAGGUGUCAAUGGACCUUUACAACAAGAGAUUAUCCCCAAUCUCUUAACCCAAGUGUAUCCCAACACUUACAAUCUUUUAACUUGAUUUUACAAAAAAGAUUACAAAUGAAUCUCUCUCACACAAUGUGUUUGAUCACAAGUGAAAGCUCAAUGUGUGAAUGAAUGAGAUGAAUACAAAGAUUUAAAGCUCAAUGAAAGUUGUAUUCUCAAUAUUUUGCUCAAUGAUGAUCGUUGGAAUUCUUCUUGUUUGAAUUGGAUUGAGAUUAUUUAUAGUUGGAGCUGAAAAACUAGCCGUUAUAGACUGUCUGCUAGAAAACGGUUCGCCGUUAACCAUUAACGGUUAACCGUUUAGGCCGGUCAAAGUUACCGUUGGGCCAAUUUUCAAAUAAACGGUUAGCCGUUUAUUCUUACCCUUUCGCCGUUAAUUUCCAGAGACCUGCAAAACAAAUUUGGUUUAACCGUUCUUAUUAAACGGUUCAAGGUUAACAAUCUGGAAAUAAUCGGUUAACCGUUUUCAGUAAACGGUUCACCGUUAGUUUCCAGAAUCAUCAUUUUAAUAAUACUUUACAGAACAUGCUUUCUGGAAAUUAUCGGUUAGCCGUUUUAAAUAAACGGUUAGCCGUUUGCUACAGUGAUUGCUACAGUGAAAAUAUUUUCUAAAUUUAUAAUUUAACCCCAAAACUUUAUAAAACUUUAUUACGGCCCAAAACGUUAUGAAACUUUGCACAUAGGUCCAAUUUCAGAAUUUCUAAAUAAUACUUUGUUAAUCCCAAAACUUUUUGAAAUUAUGGUAUAGCCCAAAAUGUUAUGAUACUUUUCAAAUAAGUCCUUUACCAAGAUUUCAAGCAAUACUUGUUUAUUUCAAAGUUUUCAAAAUUCUUUCAAUUAAACCAUAAACUUUGAAAAACAACCAAUUUCAUAAAAUCAUUUUUCCAUUAAAUAUGAAACAUUUAUAAUGUGAAAAUAAUGAUUUAUUUAAAAAGAAUAAAAACAAUCAAUUUCAUAAAAUUAUUUUUCCAUUAAAUAUAAAACAUUUAUAAUGUGAAAAUAAUGAUUUAUUUAAAAAGAAUAUUAAAUAAUUUGAGCUUAAAAGAUUAAUCAUUCUUAAUCUUAUUUGUUAUCAUCAAAAUCAAUAUUAUGAAAAUAUAUAUGUUAACAGUUUACUUUGGCGGCCCCCAGUCUUGUCAAUCAGAGAAUAUGUUUUGGCCGAAAUUCACAAUUCUUACCACGUGAUUUAAUUAAAGCACACAGAAUUCGUAAUUUUCUCCAGACAAUUUAAAUUAAACCCGCACUCUUUAUGGACUCCACUUUUAAGAAGGAUAUUGCCCACCGAGCAAACUAACCAAAACUCUUUUCCCUUCUGCGUUCAUUCUCCAACUCGUUGUCACUUUGUUUUGCUCUUCCUCUCUAUAUGAUUUUUAAGAACUAUUAAAUGUUUGUUUGUUUCUUAAAAAAAAUGUUUGUUUUUUUUUGUAUUAGAUGAUUAUAAAUAUUUAUUUAAUUUUAUAUUUUUUUAAAUUUUUUAUUAUUGUUUCAUUAUUUUUUAGUAAAUUUUUAAAAAUUAAAUAAAUUAUUUUUAUUUCUGUUAAUAAAAAUUUAAACUUUAAAUUUUUGAGGGAUGAGAUUUAUUUUUUUUAAAUAUUAAAAUACUUAAAAUAUCUUUUAUUUAUGUAAUAAUUUUAUUUUAUUUUUUUGUUAAAUAAUUUUAAAAAAAAUUAUUUAUUAAAAUAAUUUUAUAAUUUUUAAUAAAAACUCUUAUUAUCAAUUAAAUAACUAAAAUUAUUUUCAUAAAAACUUUUAUAAUAAAAAUCCUACCACACCGCAGAGUCUGCACUUACCUGCGCGUACUGUUUAAAACCCCUCACCGGCUCUGCUCUCGCCACCAAUAUUAAGAAAGAUACUUUGUUGUGGUGGCAUUUUGGUAAAAAAUAUGGGCCCCCAAAAUAAUCAUAAUAAUUAAGGAUUUAGCUAUGUGGCAACGGGUACACCAUACACUUUUUUUUUUUUUUUUUUUGUGCUGCCACAGUUAGAUCCAACACAAAAGUAGUAUUAAGAGCAAGAUGUGUUUGUUUGUUUAUUAACAAUGCAAUCCCUAAUAUUUGUCAAAAAUUUUAAAAAGUUAAAGUUUAUAAAAUUUUGUGCCAAUAUUUUUUUCCCAAAUUCUCUUAGCACAAUUAAUUGUGUUAUGGUAUCCACUUUUGCAGGUUAUAAUCAAGAGAUCAGACAUGAUAGAUACAUAAAAAAUAAUAUAAAAUAAAAAAAUUUUGAAUUUUUGUUAAAGCUCUCAUUUCUAAUAAUUUGUUAAAAUAUUCUUUUACCUAAGAAAACAAACUCAUUGACAUAAUAAAAAGAGUUUUACUGAUAAAAUAAUAAUUAUUCAAUUAUUAGAAGUGCUACAGUUAGAUUUUUUUAAGUUGAAAAUGUAGAGAAGCAUGGAGGAGAAGAGGAGAAGAAGACACAUAAUAAAACAUAAAAAUUUUCAAUUUAUUUAUACCUGAAUUCCAUUGUAUGAUGAAUAGAUUGUAGGUACAAAAAUAUAUUUAUGUGAUUUUCUUUUAUAUAAAAAGUUCAAUUCAUUAUUGCUUAUAUGAUAUAGAGCAAAUUAAUCUUAAGGUAAUGAGAAAGUAGCUUCAAUGAGAAUGCCAAGCUUCUCUUAUUGAUUGUAAUUGAUUGAUUACAUAUUUAAUUAAAAAAAUUCAAAAGGACGUAGAGGUGAGGGUUUUGAAGAAAGAGAAAAAAGAAAUUACUUCAAUAAUUUGUAAAUACAGAAGAGAUUAGGGGGUCAAAAAAUACAAAAAGUAGGGUAUGGUGGACCCAUUGUACCGUAGCUCAACUCAAGCCAAUAAAUUAAUUGUUUUAUCCUAUAAAUAAAAAUUAAUGUUGUGUAUUUGCCUAUAACUUGAGGAGGUAAUAAAAGUCUUUCGUUAUACUCUACUGUUAGUUUCUCGCCUUUUAUUCCUCUGAAAUCUUUCAACAAAAAUGGGUGGCGUCAUCUCAACCUUCUUAUCAGCGGACACAAUUCGUCCAAUUUUAUCUUACGUUGGUGGAGAAGCUAAGUAUAUAUGGGGUCUAAAAGAUAAUCUUGAUGACUUGCAGACUCAGAAGGAGAAGUUGAUUGAGAAAAAAGAAGAUAUGCUGAAUGAGGUUGAGCUUGCUGAACAACGACCCCGAACCAGACGGACGAGAUCGGUGCAACGCUGGUUUGAAAGAGUGGAUCGAAGGGUAACUGAAGUUGAGAGGCUGCAACAAGAAAGAGAUCAAGAGAUUGACAGAUUGUGCCUUGGAGGCUUCUGUUCCAAGAACUUGAUCUCAAGCUACAGCUUCGGGAAAAGAGUGGAGAAGAUGAAGAACGAAGUGAUCGAAUUGAAGAAAGGAGGAGAAGCAAUCAAUCCACUUUAUGAGGAGGUACCAGAAGGUGCAGCGGUUGCAAUAGCUGUUGACCGAACAAUUGUCGGUCAAGAAUCAAUACUAGACCGAGUUUGGAGAUGCAUCACCGAUCAAGAACAGAAUAAGGGAAUUAUUGGCUUAUAUGGUAUGGGGGGCGUCGGCAAAACUACUCUGUUAAAGCAAGUCAAUAACAAAUUCUGCAGUGAUGAACAGCAUCAUUUUGGUGUCGUUAUCUGGUCGGUUGUGUCGAGAGAGCCAAACUUGAAGCAGAUUCAAGUGGAUAUUGGAAAAAGGAUAGGCUUCUCAACAGAUUCAUGGCAGAGAAAAAGUUUUGAAGAAAGGGCUUCAGACAUCACCAACGCUUUAAAGCAUAAGAAGUUUGUAUUGUUAUUGGAUGAUAUAUGGGAGUCCAAAAUUGAUUUAACCGAAUUGGGCGUCCCUCUUCAAAGAUUAGAUUCUGGGUCCAGAAUAGUUUUCACAACUCGUUUUCGUGGUACUUGUGGUGAAAUGGGAGCUGACGAGCGGUUCGAAGUGUCCUGUUUGGGAGAUGACGAUGCCUGGAAAUUUUUUGAGGGGGUGGUUGGGAGAUACGUUCUCGACAAGCAUCCCGACAUUCCGGAGCUAGCCAAAGCUAUGGCAAGGCAGUGUCAUGGUUUGCCGCUAGCACUCAAAACAGUAGGUAAUGCCAUGGCGAGCAAAGAGUACCCUCAAGAAUGGAGUCACGCCAUUGAGAUCAUAAGCAGAUCAGCUUCUAAAUUCAAAGAUAUGGAAAAACAGGUGCUUUCGCGUUUGAAGUUCAGCUAUGAUAGUUUGCCCACUGACGAACUUCGUUCUUGUCUCUUGUACUGUUGUUUAUUUCCGGAAGACUCUGAAAUUCCAAAAACCGACUUGAUGGAGUAUUGGAAAAGUGAAGGAUUUGUGGAUUCUAGCAGCGGGUGGGGGGUUCUUGGUGCUCUCCUUCGUGCAUGCUUAUUGGAGGAAGCAGGCUUAGUGGACGAAGGAGGUAAUCGUGUAAAAAUGCACGAUAUGAUUCGUGACAUGGCAUUAUGGAUAGCAAAUGAAAUAGAGGAGGAGGAGGAGAACUUCUUGAUUCGUGCAGGAGUUGGAUUAACUGACGCCCCAAAGAUUGAAGAAUGGGAAGGGGUCAAAAGGAUAUCCUUGAUGGAGAACAAAAUUCAAAGUCUACCACAAAUUCCCACUUGUCCGCGUCUCCAGACUUUGCUUCUAAAUCGAAAUCAUAUUGCGAAGAUCACUGACAGUUUCUUUCAAUCUUUGCCUUCGCUUAGAGUUUUGAAUCUAAGUGGAAAUCAUUACCUAACUGAACUACCUGUAGGAAUUUCAAGUUUGGUUUCAUUACACCAUCUUGAUCUGUCUUAUACUCCCCUAACUGAACUUCCUGUAGGGAUUUCAAGUUUGGUUUCAUUACACCAUCUUGAUCUGUCUUCUACUGAAGUACGUGGGUUGCCGCAAGAGCUCAAGGCAUUGGUGAAUCUGAGAUAUUUGAACUUGGAGUAUACACGUAAAAUGUCUAGAAUUCCAGAGCAAUUGAUAUCAAGCUUUCCAAAGUUACAGGUGCUCAGGAUGCUGAGUUGCGGUUCUGAGAUAUUUCCAAUAGUGGAAGAAGGCAACGUUCUAUCCGAUGGUGCUGAACCAUUGAUUAAGGAAAUCCACUGUUUGGAACAAUUAAAUCUCAUCACCUUGUCCUUACGUGGUACGCGUGGUGUUGAAAACUUUUUGAAAUUCCCAAAGCUGCAGAAUAUCACUCAAGCUCUGUCCAUCGAACACUGCAACAGUCUACCGCUCAAUUUGUUGCAUCUAUCAAACAUGGAGCAUCUUGAGAAGCUA
rnacentral:lncRNA from 1 species